AAAGAACACUUGACUGUGGCAUCUUUCCAGCCUCCUGUUAGCAGCUAGGUAAGGUGCCCCCAUGGCAAGGAGCUGCGGGCAGCCUCAAGAAACUGGGUGGCCUCUUAGGACCUGAGGGCAGCCUCCAACAAGCAAGCAGCAAACCUCUGGGGCCUUCUGUUCUACAACUGCAAGGAAAUAAAUUCUGCCAACAGCCUGAAUGAGCACGGAAGUGAACUCUUUCUCAGUCGAGCCUCUGAAUGAGAACACAGUUCAACUCAUGCCUUGACUGCAGCUUGUGAGAGUCUGAGAAGAGGACCAGGAGCAACUCUAGUUGACUCUCCACUCCCACGCUGCAGGAAUUGACGGCGCACAGGGAACAGUUUCUACUGCUGUCCUUCCCGUUACCUCCUCCAAUGGGGCUUCAGUCACCACCUCUCUGGAAGGUGAUGAUGGUCGGCAGCUCCAUAUCGCCAGCCGUGACUCUGCCCUGAAAUCUAGCCCAAGGGAGCCAACUGCCUGUUUUGUCAGGACUCAUGAUCCUGAAGACAAUGAAGAAGAAAUAUGACAGUCGGUCCCGAGUGUGGAAUGAACACUCUGCUCUCCCAGCUGGGGAACUCCGUGAGGACCCACAUAAGCAAUGCAGAAGCAUUGGGAAACACAUGCAAUAACUGGGGCCAUCUGUUUUCUCCUGAAAACUAGUGGUGGGCUGGAUUCUCUGAAGAGUUUCUCAAGGCAUGUUGGACCAGAACAACCUGCUCAGAGAAGAGGCAAGGUCCCUGCCUGGGCCUCUGAGGUGUUGGAGGUGGGGCCAGCCCACCCCCAGGCCGUGAGGCCUGGCUGCUGGAAGGAGGCAGGACCCAGAAGGUUGCUGCCAUCCUGGGGUGUCUGAGUCCCCAUGUGGCCCAGCUGUGUUCCUGCUGGCCCGGCAUCCACACCCUUGUCUCUGGAUGUGCGGUGGGAGAAUUGUCUUUCUCCACGAACAGGCCAGGUGGUUCCUGGGAUUGACCUCUCUCUCCCAGGUGUGGACAAGCAGAGCAUCCUACGUCCCCAGCUACAGCGACUGGCUGAUAUGGUUUGGCUGUGUCCCCACCCAAAGCUCAUCUUGAAUUCCCACGUGUUGUGGGAGGGACCCAGUGGGAGGUAAUUGAAUCAUGGGGGCAGGUCUUUCCUGUGCUGUUCUCAUGAUAGUGAGUAAAUCUCACAAGAUCUAAUGGUUUUAUAAGGAGGCUGCACAAGCUCUUUCUCUGCCUGCUGCCAACCAUGUAAGAUGUGACUUGCUCCUCCUUUGCCUUCCACCAUGAUUAUGAGGC
rnacentral:lncRNA from 1 species